rnacentral:tRNA from 1 species
GCCUGGAUAGCUCAGGUAGCUAGAGCAUUCCCCUGAAGAGGGAAGGGUGGUCAGUGCAAGUCUGACUCCAGGCA